UACGUAGGGUGCAAGCGUUGUCCGGAAUUAUUGGGCGUAAAGAGCUCGUAGGCGGUCUGUCGCGUCGGCUGUGAAAACCCGGGGCUCAACCCCGGGCCUGCAGUCGAUACGGGCAGACUAGAGUUCGGCAGGGGAGACUGGAAUUCCUGGUGUAGCGGUGAAAUGCGCAGAUAUCAGGAGGAACACCGGUGGCGAAGGCGGGUCUCUGGGCCGAAACUGACGCUGAGGAGCGAAAGCGUGGGGAGCAAACAGG
rnacentral:rRNA from 1 species